rnacentral:sRNA from 13 species
AGAAGGUCACGAGUCUCGUAAAUCAUUUGUGGCACAUUAAAGCAAUCGCAAACGACGAUUCUUACGCACUAGCAGCUUAAACCCUGCUUAUCGCCAAUCGACCCUGCCUGUGGGGAAGAGCGGCGAGCAUCGCAACACAGGCUCGCAGCAAAGUCCGCCCCGGAUGGCGCUGUUAAAACUCUUAGGGGCUCGGCUUUCACGUCCUGCCAGUUGGG